rnacentral:rRNA from 1 species
UACGUAGGGUGCAGGCGUUAAUCGGAAUUACUGGGCGUAAAGCGUGCGCAGGCGGUCUUUUAAGUCAGAUGUGAAAUCCCCGGGCUUAACCUGGGAACUGCGUUUGAAACUGGAAGGCUUGAGUGUGGCAGAGGGGGGGUGGAAUUCCACGUGUAGCAGUGAAAUGCGUAGAUAUGUGGAGGAACACCGAUGGCGAAGGCAGCCCCCUGGGCUAACACUGACGCCUCAUGCACGAAAGGCGUGGGGGAGCAAAACAGGG